rnacentral:rRNA from 1 species
CCUACGGGUGGCAGCAGUGGGGAAUAUUGCACAAUGGGCGCAAGCCUGAUGCAGCCAUGCCGCGUGUGUGAAAAAGGCCUUCGGGUUGUAAAGCACUUUCAGCGGGGAGGAAGGCGUUAAGGUUAAUAACCUUGUCGAUUGACGUUACCCGCAGAAGAAGCACCGGCUAACUCCGUGCCAGCAGCCGCGGUAAUACGGAGGGUGCAAGCGUUAAUCGGAAUUACUGGGCGUAAAGCGCACGCAGGCGGUCUGUCAAGUCGGAUGUGAAAUCCCCGGGCUCAACCUGGGAACUGCAUUCGAAACUGGCAGGCUAGAGUCUUGUAGAGGGGGGUAGAAUUCCAGGUGUAGCGGUGAAAUGCGUAGAGAUCUGGAGGAAUACCGGUGGCGAAGGCGGCCACCUGGACAAAGACUGACGCUCAGGUGCGAAAGCGUGGGGAGCAAACAGGAUUAGAUACCCCUGUAGUC